CCCCAGGAAGAAGCGAGCAGAAGGUGGGGGGUGCGAGGGUGCCGACGGCCGAGGCGCGUGGGGGCGGCACCUCGCCAAGUGUCAAGUCGGGGAGUCAGGGCCCUGGGCUUCGCCCCCCGAAGGCGGCCGGAGCCGCGGACUCGUACUGGGCGGGGAACGGCCCCCGGGCGCUGGCUCGCUGGCCUCGCGGCUGGUGAAGGACGGGGAGAGGCCGGCUCGCUGCCCCGGGGGUCUGGCCCUGGCUCGGCCCCCUCGGAGCCUGAUGCUCUCCGCCAGCGUCCCGUCCCUGGACAGCCCUCGUUCACGCCUUCAGGACAGGCGCCCAGGGAGGCUCAGUGACCCACAAGUCCUGCCGCUGGCGGAGCCGGGACACACGGCGAGGGGUUCAGUCAGGACCUGAAGUCGGUGUCCCUGACGGUCAUGGACCUGCCUCACUCCGCUUCACGUAGACGUGGACGCAGAGGAAAGGGAAGCGUCUUCCUCACCGACCUUUGUGGUUCAGCCUCCUUUUGGCUGCGGACUGGCUUCCUUUGUCUUUGUUGCUCGCAGUGUUUUAAGGUAGAUCCUUGUGUAGGUAGUUUCCGGGAUUCUUUCGGUUGCAAGUGACAGAAAGUCAGCUCACACCGGCCAUAGCAACGAGGGCACUUCCCUUUCCUCUGGGGAAGCCCGGUGCUUGCACGCUUCCACCGAGCAGCCUCGGGACUCAUGCCCAUUGAGCUGCGCGGGUUGUGGGCCAAGGUGGCGCUGGCUGGGUGGAGAGGAAGACCUGCUGCCCGCCCAGAGGAAGUCGAGUGGCUGGGACGUGACAGGUGGGGACUGGCAGGCACAAGCAGGGGUCUUGUCGCUCUGGGAGGGGGUCAGCCUGGGAAGUGUUCUGAGCUGUCUGCUCCCAUCGGUCACCAGACAGUAGGAGGAGAGGGGCCUCUCCCGAAGCUCCCGUGGUCUCCAGCACCACUCCAUUCUCCAGAAGGUCCUGCUCCUGACACCUCACGUUUGGUAGUGGCUGAGCUAGGAGACCCACUCUGAGCCCGGCCUGCCUUCCAGGUGGGCUAGUGGCUCAGCAGCCUUGUCCCGGGCCUGCUCUCCCCACCUGGCAGCUGGACAGGAGGUGCGCAGCUGGGAGGGAAGCCAUCAGUCAGAAGAGCAUUCACAGAGCACCUGCCGCGAGUGCAAAUGAAGGAGCAUCGCACCUUGAAGCACGGACGCGACGGGGCAGACGCAGACGCAGAGCAAGGUGUGGGUGGGGUAGUCCUACCCACCGAGGCAUGGAGAACCAAGCUGAGAAAGCCACCGCCUUGCCUGAGGCUUCCGUGAGCCACCAGCCUCCAGAGAGGUCUCCAGCACGGGUGUGGCCACCCCUUCAGCUGAAGGCGGAGGUCUGAGUCCCGGGCCAGGAGACCACCAGUGUCCUAUGAGGCCUUUUCUAAUUUUGUGGAAGCCCCCGCAAAUGGCGGCGGUGUCUGGGGUUAGGGCCGAGUGCCAAGGGUAAGGACCUAGGGCCUAAGCAGGGGACAGGGCCUGGCGGUGGGCUGGGUGAGAGGUCAGCCCAGGGCCAGCUCCCAGGAGUCAGGAGCGCAUGCUUGUCCGGGCGCCUUUGUGUGUUGGAGGCACUCAGAGUCCUUUACAAAACCCACGUCGUUCUUCUCGCCUCAACUCAGAGUGUGUUGGGGGGUGAUGGGGUCUAAUGACUGACGUGCCUGGAGGUUGGCAGUGGUGCAGCUGGGAGAUCGCUGGCCAGCCCUGGGGUUUGGCCUGCCCCCCUCCAAGACCAGCCACAGGAGCCACUGCUACGAUGAGAAGCGUUGCUCUUCCCACCUUGUCUGCAAAGGAGCAGCAAGGGAGCCCGCGCUGGCAGAGAGGGUCCCCCCAGGCCGUGGGUCCUCACUCCAGACCAGGGUGCUCUUCUUCCUGUGCAGUGGGAGUGGGGAGCGGGCUUCUGAAAACGAGCAGCUUAUCAACAGCCCCUGAGAACACAGGUGGGCUGCAGCCCUCAGGCCACUGGUUUCCCCUGUCACUUCUGACUGCCAGUCCUCACCUGGGCCAUCUGUGCAGCAGGGAGGUGUGUAGCCAUGGUGAUCUUUAGCACCCCAGCUCUGAACCAGAGGGUCCCCCUGCCCCGUGCACUGGCUCGGGCCCUCUCGCACGCAGGGUGCUGAGCUGGGGUCUGAGGCAGGGUGCUCCCAAGAGUGACCCCGGGUCCACCACACCCCCGGGGGGCAGCCCAGGAGGAAAGGCUGGCAGCAUGAGGACAGAAGUGCAGCUCUUUGUCAGCUUAUUUUUAGCCGUGUUAUGUAAGUGGCUUCAUCUCAACGUCACAUAGGGAGGGGGUCUCAGAUUUAAUUACAGGAUGACAGUCUUUGCUUUUCAAGCAGGCUGUCCCUGGCAAGGCAGGCCCAAGGAUUUGGGAAUCUUCGCAAAACAGAAGGAGCCCUUUCUGAGAUGACCGCCCAGCAAAAUUGAACGGUUUUCACCUCCGCGUCUCUCUCUGACCAGCCUAACCCGGUUUGGCUGAGCUUGGCCUAAGGGGGUGGCGAUUUUGUCUCAUCACAGGGAAAUUUUGUGCCUGUCAGGGGAGGCAUUUCUCUCCCCCCACACCUUCCCCUGGCGCCUCCUGUCUGAGAGAAGGAACCACCCAAUCAGAACUCCUCCCUUUCUUCUUCCUGGAUUGAAGUGCUUGUCAUGGGUAACCAGAAAGUUCCAGCGCGGGAGCGACGGGGGGCCGGGAGCCCUGUGGGGACAGGCACAGGCAGCAUGGCUUUGUCUUGCCCAGCCCCUCAGCCUCACUGCUUCCUCCCUGUAUGUCAGGUGCUCUGGGCGACAGGGCUGGGCCAGGGUCACUGGGCAAAACUGGCCAAAUUGUGUCCAGAGCACUGUUUCCGGGCUCCUGGCCAGGCCCGCAUUCUUCACAGCAGUGUUAUCAGCAAGAAGGUGCAGAGGCGCCUGGGCCGCAGCUCGCAGGCCCGGGAGUCCUGCUUCCUGUGGCAGGAAGGUCACCUCGGCGGCCUCCAGCACACUGUGGCUUUGUCCACCCUAAAAGGCAGAGCCGUCUUUCCUGCCACGGGGUGAGGCGUGACGUCCGCCUGCUGGGUCUGCUGGAGAAGGAGCAGGCGCAGACGCAAUGGGGACUCGUUACCGGGAGCCAGGCACUCGGAGGCCGGCAGCACCCGUGGCUCCCCUGGGCUUGGGCUGGUUUCUCAGCCUCUCUGGGUCCCACCUGUAAGAAGAGGUAAGCAGAUACCUGCCUUGUGGGCAGGAGUCCAAGUGUAAACAGAGCAGGAAAAGCACCCAGAACUGUACCUGGCACGCAGAGGGGAGCCUUCAACGUGUUCUGCAGGCCAUCGCCGCCAGUGACUAGAGGGGACGUCUCCACAGAAUGCCCAGGUGCUACAUAGAAAGGCACGUGGAAGCUGUCCUUUACAAGUGGGGUGCGCAGGAAGACCCCUCCCUUCAGAGAGCACUGGAUGGCAGGGGACGCUGACAAGCACACGUCUGCCAGGUGAGCCAGGUCACAUCAACAGGUCACAACAGAGUCGUGGCGACCACGCACGCGUGGCCUUGGUGGAAAGAGAAGGGUCUGUCACCCACCCCUGUGGCCUUCCUCCUAGAGCGCACCACCCCAAUCUAACCAUGAGAGAAACGACAAAUUCCAGCAGAGGGACAGUCCACAGAACCCCGCCCAGCGCUCCUCAGAACUGCCAAGGUCACUCCAACAAGGAGCGACUGAGCCUGCGGAGACGUGAGGACUGAAUGUCACAUGGGAUCCUGGAGCGCAAAAGGGAGGAUAGGUAAAAACUAAGGAAACCGCGAAUUAAGUGUGGAGUUCAGUUAGCAAUAAAGUGUCAAUAAUGGCUCAUGAAUUGUAACAAAUGCCCACAGAAGAUGGUUACAAUAGGGGGAACUGGCCGAGGGUAUGUUUGCAACUAUUAUGUACGUUUAAAACUGUCUUAAAGUUUAUUAAAAGCGGGGCGCUAGGACUUGGCAGAGCCUGUCUAUUUGACCUGCAGGUCUGAAGGAGACGGCCUGUCCUCAUCCCACAUGGCGGGUCCCCGUGGGGUCAGCAGGUGGAGCAGUUGUCCCCACAGAGAACCCAGGGCCUGCUCUGACCACGUUGCAGCGUGGCUGCCACGCAGGAGGCUGGUGUGUGGGUCCCCUAGUCUGUGCAGUGGCUGCACUGCCCGUGACACAGUGAGGUCCUGAGGGGCCACCUGCCAGCAGCCCUCCCGCCAGCGCAGUACGGGCUCCCACCCUCCUGCCUCCCUGGUCUUUUACUUAGAUUUGCCCUUUCCCCAAAACCUGCUCACCCUUGAACUGAACAUGGUUCAAGGGCUUUCUUCUCUGUAACCAGAGAGCUGGCCAUCAGAGAAGAGGAUUCACGCCUGUGCCUCCAGGGACCGGUGAUGGCACCCGGUCCGCCCUGGGAGCGAGGCUGGGCGGGAGCACGGCUGUGUGUCCGUGUGGGCGUGUGCGUGGGCCCCUGCCUGGGAAGAAGAGAGUCGGAUCUGUGAGGCCGUGGGCGUCGGUGGGCGCCGAGCGGAACUUGCUAAGGCUCUGGGAAGGUGGAGGAGUGGGGCAUGGCUUGGCCUUGGCCUCGCACGGGCCCCUCCUGGCCCUUGGUUGCGGUGGUCCAGUCUCAACCCUCUCAGCGAAGCGGCCCAGAAAGUUCCCAGCUUGCUUGGCCUCCCCAGAGCGUCUCUACUGGCCAGGCCAGGAUGGGCGGCGGGGGCUUCCUAGGAGGAUGGGGGGCAGGGGAGGUGCUGGCCUGUGGCCUGGCUGGCUGGCUGGUGGGGAGCAGUUCCCCAGCAACCGGCCCCUUACAUAAUCCUCAUCCCGUGACUGCGGGUGCCUGUGGGAGGCAGCGUGGGGGUGAGCAGAGGGGCGCAAACGAGUCUUGGAGUUUCACUGGGUGUUUCUCCCCUUGUUAUAUUUCAGCAUCAUCCUGCGUCUGCCAGCUCAGUCACCCACUUGCUUAUUAGAAUACAUUCACUGACAAUGCUGAUUUAAAUAACUCCUGCAGGUGAUGAGGCCCCUGGGGAGCCCUCUGUCCCUGGGCCUCCUGCCCCAGCCCAGGUGAGGCAGGGAGGACCAGAUGAGGAAGGACCCUAUGGGGAGCUGGCUGCUCUGCCUGGAGUCCAGAGCUGGGUGGGGUGGGCUGGGGAGGAGGCGAAGGCAGGCAGGGAACACAGGCAGCAGGGGACCCCCCCCUCCCCGAUACAUGCAAACCCAGCUGGCUGUAGGACCCUCCAGUGAGGGGCGAGGCGGGGAAUGCAGGUGAAGGAUGCGCGUGGACCGCCUUUUAGGUAAGGAGGCCAGCACCUCGUCUGAGCGAGUGCAGCGGCCAGCGCUGUGUGCCCGGCCUGGCUGCCCCAGGCACACUGGGGCUUGGGUGGUCACUUGGCUUUCCCAGGAAAGAUGAGGAAAAAGAACAGGCUUCACACAAAACAGAGUUACUCUUCAUUUACCCCUGAAAUGUCGUCUUUGUUUUCUUAUCUCUGCCUCUUAAAUGACUUAAAUUGCCUUGAAAGUGAUCUGAAAGGUAUUUUGGAGUUGAGAGGAGGAAAUCUGUUCUCUGGAAUCUGAAAUUGGAGGACACGCUGGGAAACAAGCCCUGCAGGUGUCCCCGUGGGGUCCGUCUGAGAGGACACGCACACCCAGACCCAAACCUGCCGUCACCGGCUCCUGACGCUGCUGCAGUCAGACUCCAGACGCCGCCUGCUCCGUGCUCGCAGAUGGCGUCCUGGCCCAGGGCGGCUGCUGCUAAUUUCAGCUGCCGGAGGCUCCACGCUCUCUCUUUUUUAAAUUCCAUGUUUAUUUAAAGCCAGAUUUUCAAAUGUCGUCUUCAGCCCUGAAAUCUGACUUUUUCUUGCUGCAGAUCCUAAAGCCCCACUUGGAACCCCAUAGUCCCCAAAGGGGGAAGUUGAGGCGGACUUGGGUUGGAUCCAGGGCUUACCUUGCCAGUGGGACGAGAGAAGCGGUGUGAGGGUCUCAGGUCCCCCCCACGCCAGUCGCUGCACAUGAGAAGGGGUGUUUUGGGUCGCCUGCCCUGUCGUCACCCUGUCUCAGGUGGGUCCUAAGGCAGCAGGGCCUCUCCUGGCCCAGGUGUGUCCCCUGGAGGCGGGUCAGGGCCCAGGUCAGCAGUUCCCACCAGGUGAGGCGGCCUCAGGUGGCCUGUGCUGCGCCGGCUUCUCCCCCAUCUCCGCUCCUCCUGGGACUCAGGUCUCCUCAUUUUUUCUCGUGUGUUUGGGAACCGGGGACAUCCUGAGGGCUGUCCGUGUGCCGGGUUAACACAGCAUGAGGCUGCUGUAAGCAUCCACACCACCGAGUGGGGGGUGGGCGCUCACAAAACGUGAGGUCCCGGCCCCUUUGAGUAGCACUUAGCUAUCCUCAUCCCCUUUGCAGCUCACCCCAGAAUGUGCUAGAAUAACUGGUGAAACUGGACAGGGAGAAGGUGAAACAGGCUGAGGGGCCAGGCUGGGCUCUGGAGACAGAGUGUGUCAGGAGGACACCUGUGGACAGACUGUAUUUGGCUGGGAGCUCUUGGAGCAAAUGUUGGAAGAAACAGACAUCUUGGUAGAGGUUCGUGGAAAACUUUGGCUGUUCCCUCGCUGCCCGAGUGAAAAGAGAAUUCCUCUCAGCGGGAGGUACAAGUGUUCUGAACAGGUGGGGGUGAUAUUGCACCCCAGUCUGGGGGUGACAUCCCACCCCAGUCCAAGCGGGCUCGCUCCACGUGAGCCCUUGCAGUGUUACCCGGCUGCCCCAGGAUGAGGCCCCUGGAGUCUGUGCUAAUUGUCAGCCAGAUUUGGAGGGUUUCUCUUUGUGCAGCCUCAGGCCUGGCUCCAGAGCCCCUGGGGCUGGCAGUGUCGGAGUCGGCUGUAAUUUUCCUCCAUUCUUUGGCUCGCAAAGUCCCCGCUGGGAAAACCCCAGUGGCCUUGAUUCCACAUCAGGAAAGUAAAAGCUGAGACUCCUCCAGCCAGGACGACUCGAGCUGGUGAUUCACAAGCGGCCUCGGAUGGGUCAGGUGUGAUUGGAGCCGGAACAGUAGGACUGGACAGGCCCCCGCCCUCAGACUCCCAUCCGGUGUCUGCCGCCGACCUCAUGUGAGUGAGGUACAGAGGGCUGAGGACGCAGGUGCACUGGGGUUUAGAAUAAGUUUUGUCCCGCCAGACAAGUCACCCUGGCAUCUCAGCCCCUGGUCUGCAGAGAGGGGCGGGUGGCAGCCUGGGCAGGUGGGCAGGGGAUGCACAUGGGGCCUUUGCUGCCACCUGGUGGACAGUUCAGAAAGGUGAUGUGGAUGUGGCAGGCACUGAGGGAGGGGCCCUGUUCGGGUCAGAGUGCCACCGUGGAUAUGCUGCAGGACUGGAGGAGGUGGUGACGGGGGCAGCCCAGGCUCGACUGGCCUCCCGGGGCUUGCCCCCGGAUUAGGCAGGUGGCAGGUGGAUGGAAUGGCACCGGGGCUGUGGGGCUAGGGCUCUCCUAAGACAAGCGAGACCCUGGGAAAGCCCAGCGAGGGAGAAAAGGUGACUCAUGACAGCGGUCUGUCCUCAGCACGGUGCAGACACUGCCAGGACCUGCAGAGGGGGUGUCUGAGGGACGCGCCAUCUCCCAGGCAACUCAGGCUCUACAAGGAAAACUGUCGCUGUGAUACGUGUUUUCAAAGGGCCCUAUGACAUCUUUUUUAAAAACUGAGCUAAAAUUCACAUAACAUAAAAUUAACCUUUUUCAAGUAUAUAAUUCAGUCCACUUCGCAGCAUUUGGCGCAUCACAGGGCUGUGCAACCACCACCUCUAGUUCUAAACCAUGUCCAUCACCCCGAAAGGAAGCCCCGUCCCCAGUAGCAGCCUUCCCCAGCCCCUGGCAGCCAGCAGUCUGCUUCCUGUCUCUGUGGAUUUGCCCAUCGGGACAUUUCACAGAAAUGGAAUCACGAUGUGUGAACUGUGGGUCUGGCUUCUGUCACGCGGCGUAGCGUCUUUGAGGUUCAGCCAUGCUGUGACAUGUAUCAGGACCCGUUCCCUUUAUGGCUGAGGACAGACCACAGCGCGUUUAUCCGUCUGUCAGAGGUGGACGCCGGGCACGCCUGCCCUUUGGUGACUGGCUGGUGCUCUAGGAGCACCCAUGUUCCAGCUUUUGUUUGGACACCUGUUUGCAGUUCCUUUGGAUCUAUACCUACGAGUGCAAUUGCUGGGUCAGAUGGUCAUUUCAUGUUUAGCUUUUUGAGAAACUGCCGAACUGGUUUUUAUAGCGACUGUAUCAUUCACACCCCAGCAAGGCACAAGGACUUCCCCACAUCCUCACCAGCAGUUGUGUAUGUGUGUGUUCACUCUAGCCAUCAGUGGGUGUGAAGUGGUUUCUCAUUGUGGUUUUUUCAAUUCCAGCUGACAUACAAGAUCACAUUAGUUUCAUGUGUACGCCACAGUGAGUAGACCUUUAUGUAUCUUACGAAGAAACCACCCCGUUAAGUCUAGUCCGCAUUUAACAGUGUUAUUGACUAUGUUCCCUAUGCUGUACUUCACAUCCCCGUGACCAUUUUGAUAACUGGUAAUUUGUGCUUCUCGACCCCUUUCACCUUCCUCACCCCCAGCCCCUCCCACGUGGCAGGGCCCCACAGCCCUUGCCAGUUUGUUCUCUGGAUCUAGUAGGAGUUAGUUGCAGCAUUUUUCACAACGGCCACAGUAGGGCAACCUAGGUGUCCAUCGAUAGACGAAUGGAUACAGAAGUGGCACACAUACACCAUGGAAUAUAUCACUCGGCCAUAGAAAGGAGGGAAAUCGUGCUUUUUGCGACAACAUGGAUGAGCCUAGCGGGUGCUGUGCUGAGUGGAGUAAGUCAGGCAGAGACAACUACACCACGCGAUCUCACUUAUGCGUGGAGUCAGCCCCUCACUGUGGCUUUGGUUGCAUUCCCUGGUGUCCGCUGGCACUGAGUAUCUUUCCACACAUGGCAUCUUUCUCUAGAGCAGUGGUUCUCGACCUGUGGGUCGCGACCCCUU